rnacentral:ncRNA from 1 species
AUAAAUUAUGAAUAAAUAACUCAUAUAUCCCUUGAAUAUGGCAAGGAGUUUCUACCGGAAACCGAUAAAUUUCUGACUAUGAGUAAAAGUAAUCAUGUU